rnacentral:tRNA from 1 species
AAAAAUAGAAGUAAACUAUACACUUGGCUUCGACCCAAUUAAUGGCUCUAGCCCUAUUUUUU